UACGAAGGGGGCUAGCGUUGUUCGGAAUUACUGGGCGUAAAGCGCACGCAGGAGGAUUUAUAAGUCAGGGGUGAAAUCCCGGGGCUCAACCUCGGAAUUGCCUUUGAUACUGCCUAUCUUGAGUCCGGGAGGGGUGAGUGGAAUUCCUAGUGUAGAGGUGAAAUUCGUAGAUAUUAGGAAGAACACCAGUGGCGAAGGCGGCUCACUGGCCCGGUACUGACGCUCAUGUGCGAAAGCGUGUGGAGCAAACAGG
rnacentral:rRNA from 1 species